UACGAAGGGGGCUAGCGUUGCUCGGAAUCACUGGGCGUAAAGGGCGCGUAGGCGGCGUUUUUAAGUCGGGGGGUGAAAGCCUGUGGCUCAACCACAGAAUGGCCCUCGAUACUGGGACGCUUGAGUAUGGUAGAGGUUGGUGGAACUGUGAGUGUAGAGGUGAAAUUCGUAGAUAUUCGCAAGAACACCGGUGGCGAAGGCGGCCAACUGGACCAUUACUGACGCUGAGG
rnacentral:rRNA from 1 species